GGUAGUCCACGCCCUAAACGAUGUGCAUUAGGCCGGAGCGGCUCUGACGCCGUUCUGGCCGUAGAGAAAUUGCUAAAUGCACCGCCUGGGUAGUACGGUCGCAAGGCUAAAACUCAAAGGAAUUGACGGGGGCUCACACAAGCGGUGGAGCAUGUUGCUUAAUUCGAAGCAACGCGAAGAACCUUACCUGGGUUUGACAUGGUUGGAUUAACUCCUGGAAACAGGAGCCACACCCGCAAGGGUGGAACAAUCACAGGUGCUGCAUGGCUGUCGUCAGCUCGUGCUGUGAAGUGUCGGGUUAAG
rnacentral:rRNA from 1 species